CCAAGCAAGCCUAUUAAUCUGACAUAUUCAUCAUUCCAUCAUAAACUGCUAAGUCAUAUAUCAUAACUUAGAAUCGAAAUAAUAUUGAACAUUGCCCCUCAUACUAGCAUACCAAACAAGUGUAUAUACACUGUCUACAAUAUGUAUCUUAAUAAUUCACAUUAAGUUCAUCUAUUCAUAACAAAAGAAGACUCGAUGUCCAGCGGAGAAACUUGACAAAUGUACAACUACUAAAUGCCGAGACACUUACCAAUAGUCGAGUCUACAAAGGUACCUCAACCUAGUUACCAGCUGCCUCGUAAUCUGAAAACAUGAAGUUGAAAGCGGUGAGCAAAAACUCAGUGAGUGAGCAAAAAAGGGAACAAGCAUACCAUAAGGAAUGUUUAACGAAAUCAUGAUGCAUUCAUUCUCUCAAAAAAAUGCAAUUGUUUUGGCUCUUUUAAACCCUUCAUGUAAACCCCACAUGAGUAAAUCACUUUACAAAGAUCCAUGCUCAACUAUGGAACCAAAGAAAUGGGAAAUAUUGCAAAAACCCACAAGUUAGCAAAAUGGACAAAAAGUUUCUCGCUGCAGCGAGAACCAGGUCUGGUGAAGGCCCUCAAACUCAAGAGUUUCUCGUUGUAGCAAGAAUGAAUCUCGCUGCAGCGAGGAUCAAAACAUUAAGGAAAAAGUCUCAUUUUCCCUUAAAAUAAGCCAUCCUGCUAAAAUAACAAUAGCAACAUGUAACACAUAUAAACUCUCAAAUUUCAACAAAUCAAAUGCUCACAUAUUUGCAUUUACAACCAUAUACCCAUCAUCAUCAUGCACACCAUCCCAUCAUCAUCAUUCCCAGCUCAUGCGCACUCCUUACUCGCACAUGGCUAGGUCAUCACCGGGUUAUGCGCACUCCCUACUCACACAUAAUCGGAUCAUCACCGGGUUAUGCGCACUUCCUACUUGCACAUAAUCGGGUCAUCAUCAGCUUAUGCACACUCCCUACUCGCACAUAGCCGAGUCAAUAUCAUUACACAACAAUGUAUUCAUAUAUAUAUAUAUAUAUAUAUAUAUCAACACAAUGUGGUAGUGCAUGAAUCCAUAAUAGUCACAUGUCACAAGAUGAAGACAAUCUAUCAAAAGCUUGUUCCCAAGGCACUUGUUUUUAUGAAAAGCUGGAUAAUCCAUUCAAAUGUUUGACAAAUACAUUAUAUCCCCAAAACAAGUUUUGAAAUGCAAGUCCACUCACCGGUAUUAGGAGUAGAAAUACUCUUAUUUUCAGU
rnacentral:lncRNA from 1 species